GUGUGUGUGUGUGUGUGUGUGUGUGUGUGUGUGUGUGUGUGUGUGUGUGUGUGUGUGUGAGAGAGUGUGUGUGUGUGUGACGUGAGUGGAUACAAAUUUACAUUCAGGUUUGCCUAGGGGACUGAGUGGGCAGGUGACCUGGAUUUCCCAUCAUAAGACACUCAUCCCCAGGAAGUAGGAAGGGAAGCUGCUGCAGAGAUACCCGUCGCUGAUCAUCGGCACGGUGACACACUGUAACCGCUCCAAACGCACCGCUCUCUGGCAUCCUGUGAGGCCGCGCCACUGCUGUGUGCGGAUGUCAGAGAGGUCGUGGGUCGGCAGCGGAGUGUGGGACGGGGGGCUUCCGGAACAUGUGGAAGCUUAAAGGGAGACCAGCCAGCACCCUGACCCCCACCCCCGCCCGACGAUCAGUCAACAUGGCACUCGCUGGGCCUCGAAAACCUCACGUCUGCAUUCCUUCCAUCCUCGGGCUCCCUCUGACAGCAGCUCGAGGGGCGAACACGACACUGCAGGCAAACCGCCGCUGUCAGUCCUAAUACGAGGUGUCACAGGCAUCGAUGACAGUGAGACAACAGUCCUCCUCCCUGAGCCCUGAUUCACCUGCACAUCUAAUGUUGAUGCAUGGUUUCAAAGGGACCACAGAACAAAUCAGAGGCCCAUUCCUGAGCACCGAUGGCCUGUCUCUCAUUUCGGAUGGAGAUUGAAGGGCAUGUCUACCCCGGGGCGUCAGCGGGGAUCAGGGGGCCUCAGUAGCACCCGCCGCCCCAGGGGCCUCCGUGUCUCCACUGCGUGGGAGCCGGACCGUGACACACACUAAACGUCGAGCCCACCGCAGUGCGCCUGUGCCCCGCGAGCCGCCGCUUGGCGCGCACAGUCCUCGGAAAAGCCCUGGAAGCCUCGCCUGCGUCCCUUGUUGGCUCAAGGUUGUGUGUGAGCGCAGUGUGUGUUUGGGGUUUUGCGUCCUCCAAAAAGAUGGGACAGUGACGGGCUCUUAACGUGUGUUGGGUUGAGCGCCGGGGCUUGCGUUGAUGGAAGUCGGAUGCUUCCCGGUGUUGUUUUGAGGUGCUUUGGGUUUGUUUGUCAUAGCUUAGUGUUAAGUGUCUCUUAAGACACUUCAAUUUAGAGAUUGUUCUGUGCGCCGAGGCUCUGAAGUGGUAUCACGGGUCAGCUCGUCUGGCUUUCCUGGCACAGGAUGUGUGGGACUUUUGGAUCUGUGGAAACAACAGAGGGCAACAGCAGAUCAAUUCCAGGUUGAGGGGCGCAUACUGUAUCUGGGCAAGACGCGGCUCCAAUCCUCCUGCAUGUCUGUCUCUAGCUCUGGUCUCUUCGAGGCCUCCAUUAAGCUCCCUCAGCUUUCAUGAGACACGGCGAUACCCAUCGGGAAGUGCAUGACAGCAUGUGGACCUGAGUGACAUUUGAUGGAUGCGGCAGGAGUGAGUGCAGCUCCUCUUCGUGUCUCCCAUUCAUGUGGCGAGGGCAGGAUUAGGACUUGAUCCAAUGGAGCAGAGGAGGAGGAGAGCGAGCUCGGGUCAGAUCUGCCUUGAAUUAAGUCAGUGUUGCAGCAGGAAUAAUACAAUCACCUCCCCCAAAACCCUAUAAUAGUACUGAGGAGUAACGUAUGUGUGCGCGUGUGUGCGCGCGUGUGUGUGUGUGUUUGUGUGCGCGCGCGCUGAGCUCGGCCUGCGCCGAGGCUGCGACCAAACCACAGGGUGGUGUCCUUUACAGAGAAGAGGGGUCUCUGUUGACGGUUCAAACACAGCCCUCGGCCCCAGCUUCAAAAGGCCCCCAAUCAUCGCACCCACUUACAGCCAACGGCGCAUGUCACUUAAUGGGGACCACACUAUUCAUCAAUUAUGGUGAGCUCAGGGGCCAUCCAACACCAGCACCACAGCUCCACAAGCAGUAAGUUGUCUUCUUCUCUGACUGAAGCCCCCCACCCCCACACACCCCUUUUUUUCUAAGACUCCUUUAAGCCCAUCUGUUGCAGGAGGUGUGGUGUGGGAACCACUAACUCCUCGGAGCUGUCACACGUUUACAGAACUCCGGCUCUCCCGCUUCUUUCGUGCCAUGUUAUCUCGCCCACAACUCCAAGAACUCCUCAUCCUCUUGUAAAUGUGGACUCCUUACUGUAAGCCUAAUAUUAGCCGCCCUCUUCCCCCCUCUGUAAUAUAAUUGCCACCCUUGUCCAUCCGCACCCCUCCACUCAUCCCACAGUACAGGCUAAUCCUUGCGUCUGUAAAAUACAUUCAAGUCCACGACAUUAUCCUCCUGUUUAUGUCUCCCUUUAAAAAAAAACAACAACUUGAGCUCAUUUGAUGUCAUCUGAUUUCCGACAUGUCCCUGGCUUAUUGGCUCAGCCCAAAAUGGCCAUUUGGUAUUUAAGUGACAGAACGCAUGUGUAGGUUGGACGCAAAUGCGGUGACCAUGUUUGGAAUUCCCCUAACAAACACACGACGAACCAAACAGAGGACGGAAAGGCGCGCAAACCCUGAACCAGAACCCACAACAUCGCCCAGGUUUCACUGCUCCUCCUCCUCCUCCUCCUCCUCUCCAGUCCCAGUCCAUGGGAGGACUUCCUCCAUCAUAUCAGGACAGAGCCCAGGUGACUGUCAUGCUGGCUGGUCCAGCUGCUGGUACAGUGCGUGUCCACCAGGGGCGUAAACCUCAGCAGCUGUGUGCCAUUUUGUAUUCAUGUUGUCCGGGGGCUUCUUUCCUGUUGUACUUUUUUCCCCUCGUCUGUCCUAACACCUUGUUCCAUGUGGUGGAGAUGUGGCUCUGGUCAGAUUGUGGACGCGAGCUACUUCCUGUCAGCUGCAGUGCUUCGGUAUUUGAAUUUGAAUUUCAUCUGUGACACGGCAGAUAAUACACACCUUCUCUUAUUAAUGUCAUUCUGUGUGUGUGUGUGUGUGUGUGUGUGUGUAAAUAUUUAAGUUCAUCUUCAGUGUUAUGUGGAGAUACUGUAGUGAUUCCCAGCACUUGACCAAUUGCCAGGAUAAGUAAAAAAAAAUUGAAAUAGCUAAAAAAUAAUGGAUAAAAGUGGUGGAAACAAAUCAAUCAAAAAAAUCUGAAUAAUUGGCUAAAAAUCUAUAACUGUCACUGAACAGAAUGAAUUUAACCAACCUAAACAUAGAAGUUCAAUUUUAUGAAAAGUUUUAUACACUUAUGGGCUUAAAUGAUAUCACUGAAUGAUCCAGAAGUCAAAUGAAACCAUUUGAAACAUGAUGAUGUUGAUAAAUGUAUACUUGAGUUUGGGUCUGUUGGGCUUUGUCCGAAAGA